rnacentral:rRNA from 1 species
CGUGCUUAACACAUGCAAGUCGAGCGGUAAGGCCCUUCGGGGUACACGAGCGGCGAACGGGUGAGUAACACGUGAGCAACCUGCCCCUGACUCUGGGAUAAGCGGUGGAAACGCCGUCUAAUACCGGAUACGACCCGCCACCUCAUGGUGGAGGGUGGAAAGUUUUUCGGUCAGGGAUGGGCUCGCGGCCUAUCAGCUUGUUGGUGGGGUAACGGCCUACCAAGGCGAUUACGGGUAGCCGGCCUGAGAGGGCGACCGGCCACACUGGGACUGAGACACGGCCCAGACUCCUGCGGGAGGCAGCAGUGGGGAAUAUUGCGCAAUGGGCGAAAGCCUGACGCAGCGACGCCGCGUGGGGGAUGACGGCCUUCGGGUUGUAAACCUCUUUUACCACCAACGCAGGCUUCCAGUUCUCUGGAGGUUGACGGUAGGUGGGGAAUAAGGACCGGCUAACUACGUGCCAGCAGCCGCGGUAAUACGUAGGGUCCGAGCGUUGUCCGGAAUUAUUGGGCGUAAAGAGCUCGUAGGCGGCGUGUCGCGUCUGCUGUGAAAGACCGGGGCUUAACUCCGGUUCUGCAGUGGAUACGGGCAUGCUAGAGGUAGGUAGGGGAGACUGGAAUUCCUGGUGUAGCGGUGAAAUGCGCAGAUAUCAGGAGGAACACCGGUGGCGAAGGCGGGUCUCUGGGCCUUACCUGACGCUGAGGAGCGAAAGCAUGGGGAGCGAACAGGAUUAGAUACCCUGGUAGUCCAUGCCGUAAACGUUGGGCGCUAGGUGUGGGGACUUUCCACGGUUUCCGCGCCGUAGCUAACGCAUUAAGCGCCCCGCCUGGGGAGUACGGCCGCAAGGCUAAAACUCAGAGGAAUUGACGGGGGCCCGCACAAGCGGCGGAGCAU